rnacentral:rRNA from 1 species
AUUGAACGCUGGCGGCACGCUUAACACAUGCAAGUCGAACGGUAACAGGCCCUUCGGGGUGCUGACGAGUGGCGGACGGGUGAGUAAUGCUUAGGAAUCUGCCUAGUAGUGGGGGAUAACCCGGGGAAACUCGGGCUAAUACCGCAUACGCCCUACGGGGGAAAGGACGGGGGACGUUUCGGGCCGUCGCGCUAUUAGAUGAGCCUAAGU